rnacentral:rRNA from 1 species
GAUGAACGCUGGCGGCGUGCCUAAUACAUGCAAGUCGAGCGAACGGACGAGAAGCUUGCUUCUCUGAUGUUAGCGGCGGACGGGUGAGUAACACGUGGAUAACCUACCUAUAAGAAUGGGAUAACUUCGGGAAACCGGAGCUAAUACCGGAUGAUAUUUUGAACCGCAUGGUUCAAAAGUGAAAGACGGUCUUGCUGUCACUUAUAGAUGGAUCCGCGCUGCAUUAGCUAGUUGGUAAGGUAACGGCUUACCAAGGCAACGAUGCAUAGCCGACCUGAGAGGGUGAUCGGCCACACUGGAACUGAGACACGGUCCAGACUCCUACGGGAGGCAGCAGUAGGGAAUCUUCCGCAAUGGGCGAAAGCCUGACGGAGCAACGCCUCGUGAGUGAUGCAGGUCUUCUGAUCGUAAAACUCUGUUAGUAGGGAGGAACAUAUGUGUAAGUAACUGUGCACAUCUUGACGGUACCUAAUCAGAAAGCCACGGCUAACUACGUG